rnacentral:rRNA from 1 species
GGGACACGUGGUAUCCUGUCUGAAUAUGGGGGGACCAUCCUCCAAGGCUAAAUACUCCUGACUGACCGAUAGUGAACCAGUACCGUGAGGGAAAGGCGAAAAGAACCCCGGCGAGGGGAGUGAAAAAGAACCUGAAACCGUGUACGUACAAGCAGUGGGAGCCCUGAUUUAUCAGGGUGACUGCGUACCUUUUGUAUAAUGGGUCAGCGACUUAUAUUCUGUAGCAAGGUUAACCGAAUAGGGGAGCCGGAGGGAAACCGAGUCUUAACUGGGCGUUAAGUUGCAGGGUAUAGACCCGAAACCCGGUGAUCUAGCCAUGGGCAGGUUGAAGGUUGGGUAACACUAACUGGAGGACCGAACCGACUAAUGUUGAAAAAUUAGCGGAUGACUUGUGGCUGGGGGUGAAAGGCCAAUCAAACCGGGAGAUAGCUGGUUCUCCCCGAAAGCUAUUUAGGUAGCGCCUCGUGAAUUCAUCUCCGGGGGUAGAGCACUGUUUCGGCAAGGGGGUCAUCCCGACUUACCAACCCGAUGCAAACUGCGAAUACCGGAGAAUGUUAUCACGGGAGACACACGGCGGGUGCUAACGUCCGUCGUGAAGAGGGAAACAACCCAGACCGCCAGCUAAGGUCCCAAAGUCAUGGUUAAGUGGGAAACGAUGUGGGAAGGCCCAGACAGCCAGGAUGUUGGCUUAGAAGCAGCCAUCAUUUAAAGAAAGCGUAAUAGCUCACUGGUCGAGUCGGCCUGCGCGGAAGAUGUAACGGGGCUAAACCAUGCACCGAAGCUGCGGCAGCGACGCUGAUGCGUUGUUGGGUAGGGGAGCGUUCUGUAAGCCUGUGAAGGUGUGCUGUGAGGCAUGCUGGAGGUAUCAGAAGUGCGAAUGCUGACAUAAGUAACGAUAAAGCGGGUGAAAAGCCCGCUCGCCGGAAGACCAAGGGUUCCUGUCCAACGUUAAUCGGGGCAGGGUGAGUCGACCCCUAAGGCGAGGCCGAAAGGCGUAGUCGAUGGGAAACAGGUUAAUAUUCCUGUACUUGGUGUUACUGCGAAGGGGGGACGGAGAAGGCUAUGUUGGCCGGGCGACGGUUGUCCCGGUUUAAGCGUGUAGGCUGGUUUUCCAGGCAAAUCCGGAGAAUCAAGGCUGAGGCGUGAUGACGAGGCACUACGGUGCUGAAGCAACAAAUGCCCUGCUUCCAGGAAAAGCCUCUAAGCAUCAGGUAACAUCAAAUCGUACCCCAAACCGACACAGGUGGUCAGGUAGAGAAUACCAAGGCGCUUGAGAGAACUCGGGUGAAGGAACUAGGCAAAAUGGUGCCGUAAC